UUUUUCUACAGUAUAUGAUUUAUUAAAAUAUUUUUGUAUUUUUACUUCUACCGCAUGUGAUUUAUAAAAAUACCUACUUCACACACUAAAAAUCAACACAUAAAAUAUGUUCACAUAUAAAUCCCAGAAUGGCAGAAAUUUAAAUAUUUUAAGCUAAUUUUUCCUACUAAUGCAAUUUUUCCUAUCAAUGCAUUAUUAGCAUUUAACUAAGAAUUUCAUUUAAUUUUGUGGUGGUAAAAAUACUAAGAAUGGCUUUCCCCUGAAACUUUGUUUUUCUUAAUUCUGCUUUUUAAAAAAUCUAUGAAAAUGCUGGGGGCAAAAAAAUCACAUUAUAGACAUGUAUACAAAAUCACAUGUUCACAGAAUCCAAUUAUAUACAUACCUAAUUGUACAGAAUUUUUAAGAGCUAAUCUUUCUGAUGUAUUCUAGAGAGAAAUUUUCUAAAAGUUUGAACAAAAUUUUUCUCAAGAAAAGCACCUAGGUUUACUUUUGCUACAUUUUAGUGACCUCCAAAGAAUAUAAUUAAAUCUAAAAACUAUUUUUUUAUGUUUUUACUAAAUGCCUAAUAUUUUCCCAGAAGUAAGAUAAUUACUAGGAAGAAUACAAGAGAAGAAUAAGUUCCUGCCUUGGCAAAAAUUAAAUUCUAGUCAAUGACAGAAAAGUAAAAGUAUAGAAAGCAAUUCUAGGAGAACACAAAGCAAAAUACCCAGUAGGAUUAAGUUAGGAGGGUUAGCCUCUUCUGUAGUGCUAAUCGGUAGCAAAAGAGGAUGGGACUGGCAUCAAUAGGAUUCCAAGUUUUCAUACAUGUCAGAUGACAGGACUUGUGGUUAGACAUUGUCAAAUUAAAGGAUUCUUACUUGAAAUACUCUAAAAACACAUAUGAGUAGAAAAGUUCAAUUUUCUAAAAGCCUUUUUUUUUUUAGUCUGAGGUUACCUUACCAGUCAAAAUAUGGUCUGCAACAUGGCCCUGGCUCAAAGUUGUCCAGUAGCUAACAUACUGAGUACCUGCAGUAUCACUUCAAUACCCAAUAGGCAGUAUGUGUGAUCAUGGUAAAAUGCACAAACAAGUUGAUACCACAUGCGUCUUCAGGUCUCAACAAACUGCAAGCAACACAUACGAAAUACUUAAUACUAUCCUGGUUCACUACCAAUAAAAUAUGGAGCUUGCAGUUCAAACCUUUGAAUUUUAUUCUGGAGUUUUCCACUAAUUAUCUGUGCAAACCCUGACAAGUCACUUCUCUAAGGCUAACCUGUGUUAUUCCUAAGGAACUUCUUACUCCGUAAUUCUAACACAUUAUGUGCUCAGCUUCCUCCCCACCUUCCUGAAUGGAAAGGACAAAUGAGAGUGGAAGAUGUGAUAUCUCCAACAUAACCAAGUCAAGAGGAAAAGGUUCUGGCAGCCAGACAUCCAAAGGAUUUCAGACAACAGAAGCAGAAAGUGGUUGUUUAUGCCCUAAUAAGAAACAGAGAAGAUGAAAACUGACCUACGUCAAAGUUGCUCUGAAGAAGGAAGCCAUUUCAGAAGACUAGAGUCUCUAAAAUAGUAUGAUUCUAUAUUUGGUUAUUUAAGAAUUCUGGAUUUCCCCAGAGGACUUUUAACUGGGUUUUCAUCAUCAGAAAGCAUUUAUUGAAUGCUUAAUUUAAUUGUAUGAAUUGCUACACCAAAAAGACUUAUUACAUAGUCAUGGUCCUUGGAUCUCUGGGGCUUUUAAAAUCUGGGUCAAACAACACUAAAAGGGACAUGUUCAAGAACAUACAGAUAGGAGACUAAAUAUAUUUAACCAAAAGGUUUUUUAAAUUCAAUUUUUGGAAUAUUUCCAUCCCAGACUACUAAUUUGAAGAGAGAAAAAAAACCUUUCUGAACUAAAUAGAAAAUAAUUUUUUUAAAAAAUAAAAUUUUACAAAUAAAUUCAAUAAUGAGGCACCUGGGUGGCACAGUGGGUUAAAAGAAUCAGACUCUUGGCUUCAGCUCAAGUCAUGAUCUCAGGGUUGUAAGAUCCAGUCCGUGUUGGGCCUGUGAUCAGCAAGGAGUCUGCUUGAGAUUCUCCCUCUCUCUCUCUGUCCCUCCUGCCCAUCCUCUAAAAUAAAUCCUUAAGAAAAUAAUUUAAUAAUAGGAUAUCAACACUGAAAACAUAAGAAAGGCCAAGUCUAAGAAUCUGCCUCAUAAACAAAAAGUGAAUCACUGCAGGGGAAAAAAUGAGCUUUACAAGGGUCUAUUUAACAGGCGUUUGCAUUCAGAUUAGAGGUGGUGACCUGAAGCUGAAUUCCCUGCUCUUCAUGAUGAUAUUUCUAUCAUUUCAGGGUAAUACUAGAUAAUGGCCGACCACAGAUGAUUAUGUUAACUGAAGACAAUUAUGUUAUACAUUGAUGAAGAAUUGGAGAAAAUCUCUUAGAUUUACCUGCAUGUUAAAAUCAAGGCCUUUUACUGCCUCUGAUGGUAAAAUAGUAAUGCUUGUUAGAAUAUCCUUAAACUGUAAAAAAUAUUUUACAGUUUUAUUUUAUUUUGUUAUUCUAUUAUUAUUUAUUUAUCUAUUUUAUUUUAUUUUAUUUUAUUUUUAUUAUUUUAUUUUUUAUAAUUUAUUUUAUUUUAUUAUUUUAUUUUAUUAUUUAUUUAUUUUAUGCGAGAAAAACAAGCAUAAGAUAAUUUACCACAUGCAGUUCUCUGAUCAUCAUCUAAACUAACUUAAUCAUUAAUCCAGUGGCCCAUCCCUAAUAUUCCAAUAUAAGGAGAUAACUAGGCCAUGCACCUAUCAAUUCUCAUUGCCAAAAACAGCCACAAAUACUAUAUCAUUACUGUUUUGGUAUCCAUCAGAUAUUUAACAAAAAUAUGUUCAAUCUAUUUCUAUAUUUCUUUUACUUUUAUUUUCUAGUACUGACUAUAAAUAUAUGCAGCUACUGUAAUACAUCAAAUAAGGAAUACUCCAGAAAGGAGUAAGAGAAAGGGAAAGUAGAAGAAACCAUCUUAAAUUCUUUUUAAAUCCCAAUAAAGUUAUAAUCACAAAUAGUCAAUUGACAAAACAUCAAUAAACACAACUUCCACUCAUUUCUAUGCAGUUGAGGAAAGCAAGGAAUAUUUCCAAUAAUAUUCAUAAACUAAAAAAAACACCUGUCCUUUUGGCAAUCAUUUCUUUCUAGUUUUUCAAUUCAAUGCCUUCUUUGUCUCUUUAUAGUCUUUGGAUAUUAAAGAAAAAAGGAACAGAUCUAACAUCAUUUGCAAUUGUUCACUGACAAAAUUAACUGUUGAUGAGUUUCAUACUUCUGAAUUCUAUCUCUUUUAUUUAUCAUUAUAAGCUAGGCCUAUCCCACCCACAAGAAAUUUUAGGUAUUGUAGCAGACAGACUGUAAGGCCCUCAAUGAUCUCCACCUCCUGCUAUUUAUGAUCUCAUAAAUUCCUUUCCUCUUACAUGUGGGAAAGACC
rnacentral:lncRNA from 1 species